UUAUGUGAUGAUUUUCUUAUAUUCACACUGUCUAAGAGUGCAGUUUAAGUACUGUACUCAAUGAACACACAAACGAAAAAACUGAUUUAAUGACUCUGAUC
rnacentral:snoRNA from 1 species